rnacentral:rRNA from 1 species
CCUACGGGAGGCAGCAGUGAGGAAUAUUGGUCAAUGGACGGAAGCCUGAACCAGCCACGCCGCGUGCAGGAAGACGGCUCUCUGAGUUGUAAACUGCUUUUGUACAAGGGUAAACCUGAAUACGUGUAUUCAGCUGAAAGUACUGUACGAAUAAGGAUCGGCUAACUCCGUGCCAGCAGCCGCGGUAAUACGGAGGAUCCAAGCGUUAUCCGGAUUUAGUGGGUUUAAAGGGUGCGUAGGCGGAUUGAUAAGUUAGAGGGGAAAUGUCCGAGCUUAACUCGGGAACUGCCUCUAAUACUGUUGAUCUAGAGUGUAGGUGAGGUAGGCGGAAUGUAUGGGGUAGCGGGGAAAUGCGUAGAGAUCAUACAGAACACCGGUUGCGAAGGCAGCUUACCAAACAAUAACUGACGUUGAGGCACGAAAGCGUGGGGAGCAAACAGGAUUAGAUACCCCUGUAGUC